ACAGAGCCCAUGCUAAUCUAUACCGUUACUGGCAAUCAGUUGGCGCUUUGCAUUGCAUCUGUUCAUACGCUACUAUAGCUAGCGAUGUGAGUCCAUGACCUAGCCCUCUCUACCCCAUGGUCACUGUAUCAGAAGCCGUUAGACCACCAAGCUGUCUCCUGACCUGCAACAGAACAGGACAAGACAAGACCAUUCAAGCCUCUUAUGCAACACAUAAAACACAUAGAACACCUAGAACAAGUAGAAAACAUAGAACACAGAACACAUUGAACACGUAGAACAA